GGUUUCCCAGCCACUAUUGUGAGGUGCUCACAAACCACUGCCAAUGCGCUGACUAAAUAAUACUGGCUACAUUCAAGCGUAUGCAGCUGAUGCUCUUACAAAGAAAAUGCCCACCCGUUGAAGAGUAUUGCUGAUUUUGCAAUUUUUGUAUUGCAUGAAUUUUCUCAACGAAGGGAUAAAAAGGAUCCAUUUAAUAACUUUUAGCGUCAAGUGGGGGAUUCUCACAAUUUGUUAAGGGAAUUCUGCCGCUGAAGGAGUUUGGUAGCCACCGUGUGCUGCCUUUCCCAAGCCAGCCAUGUUCUGCAGCCUGUGUAAUCUCCAGGCCAAUAGCAUGCACAAAGUACUCAGUUCAAGGACCUCGACCGUGUGCAAAAGGCAUUGUGCACUACCUGCAGAUGUGUGAAUAUGAGGCGCUCAGUGGAACACACUGCAGAACGAAUGAGGUGAAGGAGAGACUAAUGGGCUGAGCCUGGGGUAUUAAACUGGAUCUAUAUGAGAGGAAGCCACCGUCUUCCAUGGAUGUUGCUAAUUACAGCGACGA
rnacentral:lncRNA from 1 species